AUGCAUGUCUAAGUACAAGCCUCACUAAGGUGAAACCGCGAAUGGCUCAUUAAAUCACACCUAAUCUACUGGAUAGUUAACAGUUACUUGGAUAACUGCGGUAAUUCUGGAGCUAAUACAUGCACAAAGCCCCAAACUUACGUGAGGGGCGCUUUUAUUAGAUCAAAACCAAACGGCUUCGGCUGUUCUCUUGGUGACUCUGAAUAACUUUGGGCUGAUCGCAUAGCCUAGCGCUGGCGACAUAUCCUUCGAAGGUGUGCCCUAUCAACUGUCGACUGUGGCAUAGACGCCCACAGUGGUUUUGACGGGUAACGGGGAAUCAGGGUUCGAUUCCGGAGAGGGAGCCUUAAAAACGGCUACCACA
rnacentral:rRNA from 2 species